CAACCCUCGAACCCCUCCGGGGGUCCGGCGUUGGGGAUCGGCCCUUUACCGGCCGGCCCCGAAAUACAGUGGCGGUCUCGCCGCAGCCUCUCCUGCGCAGUAGUUUACACACUCGCAUCGGGAGCGCGGCGCGUCCACGUCCGUAAAACACCCAACUUUCUGAAA
rnacentral:misc_RNA from 1 species